GACGAACGCUGGCGGCGUGCCUAAUAACAUGCAAGUGGAACGCAUGAUUGAUACCGGAGCUUGCACCACCAUUAAAUCAUGAGUCGCGAAACGGGUGAGUAAACGCGUAGGGUAAACCUACCUCAUAGCGGGGGAUAAACUAUUGGAAACGAUAGCUAAAUACCGCAUAACAGUCUUUAACCCAUGUUAGAGAUUUGAAAGGGGCAAGAGCUUCACUAUGAGAUGGACCUGCGUUGUAUUAGCUAGUU
rnacentral:rRNA from 1 species